rnacentral:sRNA from 1 species
UACCACAGGUUUUACCUGUGGUUCCGGAAAGCUUAUAGCUAUGAGUAGAAAAAAGAAAAACUCCAAUAUAAAAUAGAAGUGGGUUUGCCAACCACAACUAAAAUAUAUUGGA